rnacentral:lncRNA from 1 species
GAGGAAGAAAUCAUAUAUUGGAUAAAACUGUUGGAUUACAAUAGUGGAUAUUACUGAAGGAACAUCAUCCCAAUGAGAUGCAUAAUCUAAAUGUUUUCUUUACAUCCCUACAACUUAACGAAAAUUUAAUCGAGUAACAUCAUCCAACAGGAACAACAUCCCUACAACUUAACUAAAACUGAAAGCAUCCACCACCACCACCAUCAUCAUUAUCAUCAUCAUCAUCAUGAACCGGAACAUCAUCGUCAUCAUUGCGGUAUACUUGCCACAACACCCAUAUAAUCAUCCAUAUAUAUUUUGAAUAUACAAAAAAAAUACCGAAAUGAACUGUUAACAGACAAUGAAUUGACAUGAUGCAAGUAAUGAUAGAGGCGGGUUAUUAGUCACGUGCAAAUGCAGAAGGCCAUGUAAUCUUUGUUAUACAUAACAAAUUACUGGCAUACAUAGUAGAUAGAAAUACAUUCAUAACUUACCUCAAGGUGAUUAUGGACCCAUAUGAAUUAGUUUACCAUUUCUUUGAGGGGUUCAUGUUACGUACUUCAAAUAUAUGAGCCUAAUAUGGGUGUCUUAGUGUAUGGCAGAGAUCGUUGCAUAAGUAUACAUGUUUUCCAAUGUUGAACAUGUCAAAUGGAACAAAGAUAAGCAUUUUUAUGGUAUGUAGUGAAACGGUUGGAGCAACACAAACUGGCACAGAUUGGUGGUGUCCCUUCUCCCACUUCCACAUGAGAUCCUCAUCGAAGCAUAUGAGUAAAAUAUAAUAUUGUACAAAUAUACAUUCAGUUUGUGCUUGUAAACAUAAUUUAAAUAUUAGUUACACAGCACUUGUGGUAAAGGGGCUAAUUAAGUUUUUCAACACUUCAUCUUGGUUCACAUAGUAAUUCGUGUUUGCGUAAAAAUAAAUUAAUCCACACAAAAUCACUACUUAUGUAGUAUGUAUAGAGAGCCAGAAGGACCUAAAUAUGAAAACGUUAAGAAACGACGGAGAGACAUGCAUACAGUUUUUAUGAAGCUACAGACUUUUCACACAACACGGUAUAUAUGCACUCACCAUGACUAAUCACAAAAAUUCUUUAAUUGGAGUGUGUACAAUUUGCAUCAGACAUACAUCUAACAUAAUUUAGAGAGCCUUGUGCAUGCAUCUUUUAUUGUUCAGAACAUGAAAAGGGUGGAAAAAACAGUAAUUUUGGAACAAAAUAAAGGACUGCUUCGGAACCACACACCAUUACUGAGGAUAUUGUGGAAAGUAGCUUAAUUACCUUAUUAUGUUCUCCAUAAGGGGCUGCUCUGUAAUCCAGAUAAUGAAACUGAGAGGAAUGAUAUAUAUGUUGUUAGUAACACAUGUUUAGAAUAUUGCUCCCAUAAUAAUGAUUGUAGGAACGUUCCACAAGAAUGUUCCAUUUUAUAUUGAAACCUCGUUACCAACCUAUGACGUAAACAUGAACCUGUACAAAUCAUUUACUCCUUGCUAUUAGCAUAACUUUUGCAUCGGCAGUGGGAUUGUAGUCUCGCUACCUAGUAAAAGCAGGGAAGCUGAUAUGCUAAGCAUCAC